UUUGGACAGAAGGUAAUGUUCAGACAAAAGUGGAUUCUUCUUUUGGUCUCCAUUAUCUUUUUGAUUUUCAAGUUUCAUUUAGAUUUCAGAAAAAUUAGAAAAUAAAAAUACGACAACAUACACUUAUGCUUUUUCCUUUGGUUUCUGAUAUAUAUAGCUUCCAAAAUAUGGAAUAUGAUUGAGUCGAAUCUAUUUUGAUUUUUGUUCGAGUUUGGGGUCGGAAUUUUUCUAGCUACCGUUCGUGAGUUCCGAUUGUGGUUCAUGUUCAUUUUUGUUGCUGUCUCUCUUUUGUUUGGAUUCUGAAGGCAAAAUAUUACAUUCCUCGAUUAUUCUAAUGGUGUUAAAGACGGUUUUGGGUUAGCAGGUUCAAUUCCUUUUUCUUCUUCUUCUUCUUUAUUUAAUCAUAUUUGGAGUGAAUCUAGUCUCAGGAGAGCCAUUAAAAGAUGGAUUAAGGUUACAAUAAUUGUUGAGAUUUGUUUAGUUUCCUUAGAAUUUUGUUCACUAUUUUCAGCAUCUCAUAUAUUUAUCUAUGGAUUUAUUUUAGGAUUGAGUGAACUUAUUUUGCACUGGAUUUUCAUUUGGUUUGGUUUUUAGUCAAAUAGGGAGUGGAUAUUCAUACGAUUCUUUAUUAUUUUAAAGCUAAAAAAAAGAUAUUUUCCAUGUGUUUACUUUUUUUUUUUGGGUUGGAACAUGAAUUAUAUGAGCUAAAAGUCCUCCUCAAUCGUCCUUUUUCAAUCUUCAAGUAAAACAGAUUCAAUAUAUUUGAUGUAAAGUAAAUUUAUCACUAUUUUGCUUUUUUCUAAUCUAUUAAAGUUGAUGUGAAGUUGGCUGUAGACUACUAUUGGAGUUGAAUUCUCUUUAUUCUUUUAAAUCCUAAAGGCUAGAACUUAGCAAUAAUGAAUUUAGUAUCUCAGUAUCCAUAAGAAUGUGUGCUUGAGCUUGGUUUGUUUGGGAUAUUAACAUGAUCUGGAGAAAAUUGAAACUGGAGGGGCAAGUCAACACGUAAUUGGAUGUUCGAAUUUUUGCAAAUUUUUAGUCGGGUUCCGAGGCGUGGGCUUGGGUUGAAUUAUUAUUAUUUCUUCGUAAAGAUCGUAAUUUUAUUGUUCAAAUUAAUAUCCUAUAGUUGUAUUUAUAGUAUGAAAUUAUUUUGGCUAGAUUCGAGUCGUUCAGAGUUGGAUAAUCGAGGGAAAGGCCUACUAGUGGAUUGAGUUAGCGUGACUUGAGGUAAGUGACUUGUCUAACCUUGCGUGGGGGACUUUCCCCUAGAAUUGGUAUUAAUGUGCUAAAUGAAAGUCGUGUACAUAAGGUGACGAGUGCGUACACCGACUAAAUGUGGAAGAUUAUACUUUUAAUUUGUGUAUAUCACUGUUGCAUAUUAAUUAAAUCAUUUAUUCCUUUUUUAUUCAUUGUCAUUAAAUUAUUUUUAUAUAUGUGAAACUAGUCUGACCUUUUCUUGCUAAUUGCCUAUCUGUUAAAUUGAAACUUUGUUUCUUUUAUUUGUGUUCAUUAUUUGAAGGUUGUGUUUUCUUAAUUUAAAUAUUUUUUUUAUAUAUGAAGUAUUUGGCAUUUUAAAAAUCGGUAUGGAAUCAAGGUGCUAAAUUUGGGAAAUCGUUAUUUGUUGAGAUUUUUAUAUUCAUUGUGAUUGAGCCGCUAGCUCCUUAUUGUGGAAAAUAUAGGUGUUAAUUUAUUUUGGCAAGUAGAAAUAUUUGAGCACUUGAGGUGCAAAUUGUGAUAUUGAUACGCAUGCGGUGGUAUAAGGUCUGGGUAUUGAAACGCAUGUGGUGAGAUAAGGGUGGCUUGAUACACGUGGCUAGUAGGGAACUACUAGAAGUCAUGUGGUGAGAUAAGGACGGCUAAAACGUGGGAUGCUAUUUCAGGAAAAAUAUUUUUUUUCUUUAAAAGUAAAUGUGAAGGCUCCCGCGGUGAUAUGAGGAAAUGAGAUAUUGUGAAUUUAUUUAUGAUUUGGGACUACGAAGCGGUACCUCGAAAGUGCCCCUGUUGAUAUUUCUUUAUGGCUACAUUUACUUUCCAGUUAUUCUAUCAUUUUUAUUUAUUUAAUUGAAGCUUUCCCUUUAGUAAGUUAUUAUUAUUUGCUCUUAUUCUGUGUUGUUAAAUUUUGAUAUUUUUCUUAUGUGACUUGUUCCCAUUUGUCAUUACUAUUAUCAUAUUGUUGAACUUCUUGCCUUGUCUUUUAUUAUUUUCCAGUAGGGCUCUGACUUGACCUCGUCACUACUCAACCGAGGUUAGGCUUGGCGCUUACUGGGCACCGCUGUGGUGUGCUCAUACUACACUUCUGCACUUUUUUUUUUGUGUGCAGAUUCAGGUACUUCUUAUCAGACCAGGUAUCAGUGAGCUAGCUGUACCAGGAGACUUCAAGGUAUACCUGCCAGCGUCCGCAGGUCUCGGAAUCCCCAUCUAUCUUUACUAUCUUGUUUCUUUAUCUUUAUUAGACUCCGAUGUUUAGAGCUAUGUUAGAACUCUUUCUAAGAGCUUGUGACUUGUAUUUUUCACCGGAUUUUGGGAACUUUAUUAUGUAAUGAAUGGUGGAUAUUUUGAGAGUCUUAAUUGUUAUUUUCAUUAUUCCGUGUGUUAACAGGCUUACCUAGUCAUAGAGACUAGGUGCAGUCACGAUACCCUAUGGAGGGAAAGUUGGGGUCGUGACACACAAGUUAUCAUAAAAUCUCCCCAUUGCAAUUGGCUUUUGGCCAGGAGCCAAAUAUUUUCCAUCUUAGAAUCUUUGGUUGUGUAGUAUAUGUUCCAAUUGCUCCACCGCAAUGCACAGAGAUGGGCCCCCAAAGAA
rnacentral:lncRNA from 1 species